AAUAAGUGCGGUCAUAAGUUUCCGCGCUCAACUUUGAUCGUCCGUUUUACUUGAAAUUUUUUUAUAAUUAGCAUUUUUAUUGUUAUGAGAUGAUAAAACGUGAAUAGUACUUUGCUCGUGACUUAUGUUUUUAAUUUUUUUAAAAAAAUUAAAUAAGACGAACAAUCAAAGGACACGGAAAACCAUGGCUGCACUUAUU
rfam:Oryza glumipatula chromosome 10, whole genome shotgun sequence.